rnacentral:misc_RNA from 1 species
GUUAACGGUACUAGUACUAUGAACUCCGGUAAGCCACCGGCAGGUUCUCCGACGAUGCACACCGUAGCUCACUACUCCUUCUUUCCGGGAAGUCCACGGUGGCCGGCGAACAAGAGAGAUCUGACAUAUGCUUUUGCACCGCAGAAUGGACUGACGGAUGAUAUUAAGAUUGUGUUCACACGAGCGUUUGAUAGGUGGUCGGAGGUGACUCCAUUGACGUUUACUGAAAUAGCAUCGUACCAAUCGGCUGAUAUUAAGAUCGGGUUUUUCAGCGGAGAUCACAACGAUGGAGAGCCGUUUGAUGGUCCUAUGGGGACAUUAGCACACGCGUUUUCCCCACCGGCGGGGCAUUUUCACUUGGAC